rnacentral:tRNA from 1 species
GGGUCCGUAGCUCAGCCUGGUAGAGCACCUGCCUUUUAAGCAGAGGGUCGAGCGUUCGAAUCGCUCCGGACCCA